UAAUACGUAGGGGGCAAGCGUUGUCCGGAAUUAUUGGGCGUAAAGCGCGCGCAGGCGGUUUCUUAAGUCUGGUGUCUAAGUGCGGGGCUCAACCCCGUGAUGCACUGGAAACUGGGAGACUUGAGUGCAGAAGAGGAGAGCGGAAUUCCACGUGUAGCGGUGAAAUGCGUAGAGAUGUGGAGGAACACCAGUGGCGAAGGCGGCUCUCUGGACUGUAACUGACGCUGAGGCGCGAAAGCGUGGGGAGCAAACAGGAUUAGAUACCCUGGUAGUCCACGCUGUAAACGAUGAGUGCUAGGUGUUGGGGGGGUCCACCCCUCGGUGCCGAAGUAAACACAUUAAGCACUCCGCCUGGGGAGUACGGUCGCAAGACUGAA
rnacentral:rRNA from 1 species